AGUGAACGCUGGCGGUAGGCCUAACACAUGCAAGUCGAACGGCAGCACAGAGGAGCUUGCUCCUUGGGUGGCGAGUGGCGGACGGGUGAGGAAUACAUCGGAAUCUACUCUGUCGUGGGGGAUAACGUAGGGAAACUUACGCUAAUACCGCAUACGACCUACGGGUGAAAGCAGGGGACCUUCGGGCCUUUCGCGAUUGAAUGAGCCGAUGUCGGAUUAGCUAGUUGGCGGGGUAAAGGCCCACCAAGGCGACGAUCCGUAGCUGGUCUGAGAGGGUGAUCAGCCACACUGGGACUGAGGCACGGGCCAGACUCCUACGGGAGGCAGCAGUGGGGAAUAUUGGGCAAUGGGCGCAAGCCUGAUCCAGCCAUACCGCGUGGGUGAAGAAGGCCUUCGGGUUGUAAAGCCCUUUUGUUGGGAAAGAAAUCCAGCUGGCUAAUACCCGGUUGGGAUGACGGUACCCAAAGAAUAAGCACCGGCUAACUUCGUGCCAGCCGCCGCGGUAA
rnacentral:rRNA from 1 species